rnacentral:hammerhead_ribozyme from 1 species
AUCAAGCUGAAGAGUCCCGAAUAGGAUGAAACCUGCGUCCUUCAC